rnacentral:rRNA from 1 species
GAUGAACGCUGGCGGCGUGCCUAAUACAUGCAAGUCGAGCGAAUGGAUUGAGAGCUUGCUCUUAUGAAGUUAGCGGCGGACGGGUGAGUAACACGUGGGUAACCUGCCCAUAAGACUGGGAUAACUCCGGGAAACCGGGGCUAAUACCGGAUAACAUUUUGAACCGCCUGGUUCGAAAUUGAAAGGCGGCUUCGGCUGCCACUUAUGGAUGGACCCGCGUCGCAUUAGCUAGUUGGGGAGGUAACGGCUCACCAAGGCAACGAUGCGUAGCCGACCUGAGAGGGUGAUCGGCCACACUGGGACUGAGACACGGCCCAGACUCCUACGGGAGGCAGCAGUAGGGAAUCUUCCGCAAUGGACGAAAGUCUGACGGAGCAACGCCGCGUGAGCGAUGAAGGCUUUCGGGUCGUAAAACUCUGUUGUUAGGGAAGAACAAGUGCUAGUUGAAUAAGCUGGCACCUUGACGGUACCUAACCAGAAAGCCACGGCUAACUACGUGCCAGCAGCCGCGGUAA